AUACGUAGGGGGCAAGCGUUAUCCGGAUUUACUGGGUGUAAAGGGAGCGCAGACGGCAAUGCAAGUCUGAUGUGAAAACCCGGGGCUUAACCCCGGGCCUGCAUUGGAAACUGUAUAGCUGGAGUAUCGGAGAGGUGAGCGGAAUUCCUGGUGUAGCGGUGAAAUGCGCAGAUAUCAGGAAGAACACCGGCGGCGAAGGCGGCUCACUGGACGACAACUGACGUUGAGGCUCGAAAGCGUGGGUAGCAAACAGGAUUAGAUACCCUGGUAGUCCACGCCCUAAACGAUGAAUACUAGGUGUAGGGAGGCAUAGCCUUUCUGUGCCGCAGCAAACGCAAUAAGUAUUCCACCUGGGGAGUACGUUCGCAAGAAUGAAACUCAAAGGAAUUGACGGGG
rnacentral:rRNA from 1 species